UUAAGCGACUAAGCGUACACGGUGGAUGCCCUGGCAGUCAGAGGCGAUGAAGGACGUGCUAAUCUGCGAUAAGCGUCGGUGAGGUGAUAUGAACCGUUAUAACCGGCGAUUUCCGAAUGGGGAAACCCAGUGUGUUUCGUCACACUAUCAUUAACUGAAUCCAUAGGUUAAUGAGGCGAACCGGGGGAACUGAAACAUCUAAGUACCCCGAGGAAAAGAAAUCAACCGAGAUUCCCCCAGUAGCGGCGAGCGAACGGGGAGGAGCCCAGAGCCUGAAUCAGUGUGUGUGUUAGUGGAAGCGUCUGGAAAGGCGCGCGAUACAGGGUGACAGCCCCGUACACAAAAAUGCACAUAUUGUGAGCUCGAUGAGUAGGGCGGGACACGUGGUAUCCUGUCUGAAUAUGGGGGGACCAUCCUCCAAGGCUAAAUACUCCUGACUGACCGAUAGUGAACCAGUACCGUGAGGGAAAGGCGAAAAGAACCCCGGCGAGGGGAGUGAAAAAGAACCUGAAACCGUGUACGUACAAGCAGUGGGAGCCUCUUAAUGGGGUGACUGCGUACCUUUUGUAUAAUGGGUCAGCGACUUAUAUUCUGUAGCAAGGUUAACCGAAUAGGGGAGCCGAAGGGAAACCGAGUCUUAACUGGGCGUUAAGUUGCAGGGUAUAGACCCGAAACCCGGUGAUCUAGCCAUGGGCAGGUUGAAGGUUGGGUAACACUAACUGGAGGACCGAACCGACUAAUGUUGAAAAAUUAGCGGAUGACUUGUGGCUGGGGGUGAAAGGCCAAUCAAACCGGGAGAUAGCUGGUUCUCCCCGAAAGCUAUUUAGGUAGCGCCUCGUGAAUUCAUCUCCGGGGGUAGAGCACUGUUUCGGCAAGGGGGUCAUCCCGACUUACCAACCCGAUGCAAACUGCGAAUACCGGAGAAUGUUAUCACGGGAGACACACGGCGGGUGCUAACGUCCGUCGUGAAGAGGGAAACAACCCAGACCGCCAGCUAAGGUCCCAAAGUCAUGGUUAAGUGGGAAACGAUGUGGGAAGGCCCAGACAGCCAGGAUGUUGGCUUAGAAGCAGCCAUCAUUUAAAGAAAGCGUAAUAGCUCACUGGUCGAGUCGGCCUGCGCGGAAGAUGUAACGGGGCUAAACCAUGCACCGAAGCUGCGGCAGCGACACUAUGUGUUGUUGGGUAGGGGAGCGUUCUGUAAGCCUGUGAAGGUGGCCUGUGAGGGUUGCUGGAGGUAUCAGAAGUGCGAAUGCUGACAUAAGUAACGAUAAAGCGGGUGAAAAGCCCGCUCGCCGGAAGACCAAGGGUUCCUGUCCAACGUUAAUCGGGGCAGGGUGAGUCGACCCCUAAGGCGAGGCCGAAAGGCGUAGUCGAUGGGAAACAGGUUAAUAUUCCUGUACUUGGUGUUACUGCGAAGGGGGGACGGAGAAGGCUAUGUUGGCCGGGCGACGGUUGUCCCGGUUUAAGCGUGUAGGCUGGUUUUCCAGGCAAAUCCGGAAAAUCAAGGCUGAGGCGUGAUGACGAGGCACUACGGUGCUGAAGCGACAAAUGCCCUGCUUCCAGGAAAAGCCUCUAAGCAUCAGGUAACAUCAAAUCGUACCCCAAACCGACACAGGUGGUCAGGUAGAGAAUACCAAGGCGCUUGGGAGAACUCGGGUGAAGGAACUAGGCAAAAUGGUGCCGUAACUUCGGGAGAAGGCACGCUGAUAUGUAGGUGAAGCGACUUGCUCGUGGAGCUGAAAUCAGUCGAAGAUACCAGCUGGCUGCAACUGUUUAUUAAAAACACAGCACUGUGCAAACACGAAAGUGGACGUAUACGGUGUGACGCCUGCCCGGUGCCGGAAGGUUAAUUGAUGGGGUUAGCGGUAACGCGAAGCUCUUGAUCGAAGCCCCGGUAAACGGCGGCCGUAACUAUAACGGUCCUAAGGUAGCGAAAUUCCUUGUCGGGUAAGUUCCGACCUGCACGAAUGGCGUAAUGAUGGCCAGGCUGUCUCCACCCGAGACUCAGUGAAAUUGAACUCGCUGUGAAGAUGCAGUGUACCCGCGGCAAGACGGAAAGACCCCGUGAACCUUUACUAUAGCUUGACACUGAACAUUGAGCCUUGAUGUGUAGGAUAGGUGGGAGGCUUUGAAGUGUGGACGCCAGUCUGCAUGGAGCCGACCUUGAAAUACCACCCUUUAAUGUUUGAUGUUCUAACGUGGGCCCGUAAUCCGGGUUGCGGACAGUGUCUGGUGGGUAGUUUGACUGGGGCGGUCUCCUCCUAAAGAGUAACGGAGGAGCACGAAGGUUGGCUAAUCCUGGUCGGACAUCAGGAGGUUAGUGCAAUGGCAUAAGCCAGCUUGACUGCGAGCGUGACGGCGCGAGCAGGUGCGAAAGCAGGUCAUAGUGAUCCGGUGGUUCUGAAUGGAAGGGCCAUCGCUCAACGGAUAAAAGGUACUCCGGGGAUAACAGGCUGAUACCGCCCAAGAGUUCAUAUCGACGGCGGUGUUUGGCACCUCGAUGUCGGCUCAUCACAUCCUGGGGCUGAAGUAGGUCCCAAGGGUAUGGCUGUUCGCCAUUUAAAGUGGUACGCGAGCUGGGUUUAGAACGUCGUGAGACAGUUCGGUCCCUAUCUGCCGUGGGCGCUGGAGAACUGAGGGGGGCUGCUCCUAGUACGAGAGGACCGGAGUGGACGCAUCACUGGUGUUCGGGUUGUCAUGCCAAUGGCACUGCCCGGUAGCUAAAUGCGGAAGAGAUAAGUGCUGAAAGCAUCUAAGCACGAAACUUGCCCCGAGAUGAGUUCUCCCUGACCCUUUAAGGGUCCUGAAGGAACGUUGAAGACGACGACGUUGAUAGGCCGGGUGUGUAAGCGCAGCGAUGCGUUGAGCUAACCGGUACUAAUGAACCGUGAGGCUUAACCUU
rnacentral:rRNA from 1 species